rnacentral:rRNA from 1 species
AUUGAACGCUGGCGGCAUGCCUUACACACGCAAGUCGAACGGCAGCACGGGGGCGAACCCUGGUGGCGAGUGGCGAACGGGUGAGUAAUACAUCGGAACGUGCCCGGUAGUGGGGGAGUAGCUCGGCGAAAGCCGGAUUAAUACCGCAUACGACCUGCGGGUGGAAAGCGGGGGAGUCGCAAGACCUCGCGCUAUCGGAGCGGCCGAUGUCAGAUUAGGUUGUUGGUGGGGUAAAGGCCUACCAAGCCGACGAUCUGUAGCUGGUCUGAGAGGACGACCAGCCACACUGGGACUGAGACACGGCCCACGACUCCUACGGGAGGGCAGCAGUUUCGAAUCAUUCACAAUGGGCGCAAGCCUGAUGGUGCGACGCCGCGCGAGGGAUGAAGGUCUUCGGAUUGUAAACCUCUGUCACCGGGGAAGAAACGCUUCAAGUUAAUAGCUUGAAGCCUGACUUAACCCGGAGAGGAAGCAGUGGCUAACUCUGUGCC